rnacentral:rRNA from 1 species
CCUAGUUGAUCCUGCUAGUAUUCUUGUGCUUGUCUCAAAUAUUAAGCCAUGUAUGUCUAAGUAUGAACUAAUUUAGACUAUGAAAUUUUGGAUGGCUCAUUAAAUCAGUUAUAAUUUUUUUUAUGGUACCAUACUACUUGGAUAACUGUAGUAAUUCUAUAGAUAAUGCUUCCACCAAGUCUUGACUCUUUGGAAGGGAUGCAUUUUUUAGAUAAAAGGCUUGUGCGAGUUUUCCCGCUUCUCUGGUGAAUCAUGAUAAUUUGAUGGAUUGCACAACCCUUAUGUUGGCAAUGCUUCAUUCAAUUUUUUUCCCUAUCAACUUUCAAUGGUAGGAUAGAAAAGAGAAUUACGGCUCGAUUCGAGAUAGGGAGCUUGAGAAAUGACAACAACAUCCAAGGAAGGUAGCAGGCAUGCAAAAUACACAAUCCUAACAUGGGGAGGUAGUACAAUAAAUAACAAUACUAGGCUCAUUGAGUUUGGUAAUUAUAACGAGUAUAAUAUAAAUCCCUUAACGAGGAUCCAUUAGAGGGCAAGUCUGGUGCCAGCAGCCGUGGUAAUUCCAGCUCCAAUAGUGUAUAUUUAAGUUAUUGCAGUUAAAAAUCUUGUAGCUAGGUAUUGGGUAAUAAAUGUCGGUCCACCUACUCAGUGUGCACUUGCCCUUUCGUCAAUUUUAUCGGCGGCAUGCUCCUAGCCUUAAUUGGCUAGGUCGCGGCUCCGACAUUAUUACUAUGAAAAAAUUAGAGUGCUCAAAGCAAGCUUAUGAUCUGAAAACAUUAGCAUGGAAUAAUGUGAUAGGAGUCUAGUCCUAUUAUGUUGGCCUUUGGGACUGGAGUAAUGAUUAAUAAGGAGUGUUAAGGGCAUUCGUAUUUCAUUGUCAGAGGUGAAAUUCUUGCAUUAAUCAAGAAUGAAAGUUGGGGGCUUGAAGAUGAUCAGAUACCAUCCUAGCUCAACCAUAAACAAUGUUGACUAGGGAUUGGGGGACAUUGCUCUAAGGACUCUACCAACACCUUCUAAGAAAUCAUAGUGUUUGGGUUCCGGGGGAAGUAUGGUCGCAAGGUUGAAACAUAAAAUAAUUGAUGGAAGAGCACCACCAGGAGUGGAACUUGUGGCUUUAUUUGACUCAAUAUGAGGAAACUUACCAGGUCCAGACAUAGUAAGGAUUGACAAAUUGAGAGCUCUUUCUUUAUUCUAUGGCUGGUGGUGCAUGGUUGUUCUUAGUUGGUGGAGCGAUUUGUCUGGUUAGUUCCGAUAAUGAAAGAGACCUCAACCUGCUAACCAUCUACGUGGAGGUUCCCCUUCACAACCAGCUUCUUAGAGGGACUAUGGCCAUUUAGGACAUGGAAGUUUGAGGAAAUAACAUGUCUUUGAUUCACUUAGAUGUUCUUUGCCACACGCGCGCUACACUAAUGUAGCCAACGAGUUUUUCUUCAUUGUUCGAGAGGAUUGGGAAAUAUUUUCAAAUUGCAUCAUGAUGGGGAUAGACCAUUGCAAUUACUGGUCUUCAACGAGGAAUUCCUAGUAAGCAUGUGUCAUCAAAUCAUGUUGAAUACGUCCUUGCCAUUUGUACACAUCGCCCAUCAAUCUUACUGAUUGAAUGAUUAGUGAAGUGUUCGAAUUGCAUCGAAAAUGGAGGUUUGCUGUCAUUGAUGUCGUGAGAAGUUCAAUGAACCUUAUCAUUUAGAGGAACAAGAAAUCGUAAUAAGGUUACUGUAGGUGAACCUAUAGUAG